rnacentral:rRNA from 1 species
GACUACGGCCAUAUCACCCUGAAUGCGCCCCAUUUCGUCUGAUCUCGGAAGCUAAGCAGGGUCGGGCCUGGUUACUACUUGGAUGGGAGACAAAAUAGUGAGAAGUGUUCAUAUUUGUUU